rnacentral:rRNA from 1 species
GACGAACGCUGGCGGCGUGCUUAACACAUGCAAGUCGAACGAUGAAGCAAAGAAUCGAAGCUUCGGCAGAAAUUCAUUUCGGAUUAGUGGCAGACGGGUGAGUAACGCGUGAGCAACCUACCUCUUACAAAGGGAUAGCCUCGGGAAACCGGGAUUAAUACCAUAUAACAUUGCGACGAAGCAUUUCGAUGCAAUCAAAGCUACGGCGGUAAGAGAUGGGCUCGCGUCCCAUUAACCGGAUGGUGAGGUAACGGCUCUCCAUAGUGACGAUGGGUAACCGGCCUGAGAGGGUGAACGGUCACACUGGAACUGAGACACGGUCCAGACUCCUACGGGAGGCAGCAGUGGGGAAUAUUGCACAAUGGAGGGAACUCUGAUGCAGCGACGCCGCGUGAGUGAUGAAGGAAUUCGUUUCGUAAAACUCUGUUCUAUGGGAAGAAAAGGACUGUACCAUAGGAGAAAGCUCCGGCUAAAUACGUG